rnacentral:rRNA from 1 species
GAUGAACGCUAGCGGCAGGCUUAAUACAUGCAAGUCGAGGGGCAGCAGGUUUGUAGCAAUACAGAUGCUGGCGACCGGCAAACGGGUGCGGAACACGUACACAACCUUCCUUUAAGUGGGGAAUAGCCCAGAGAAAUUUGGAUUAAUACCCCGUAACAUUAUGAUGUGGCAUCACAUUAUAAUUAUAGCUCCGGCGCUUAAUGAUGGGUGUGCGGCUGAUUAGGUAGUUGGCGGGGUAACGGCCCACCAAGCCUGCGAUCAGUAACUGGUGUGAGAGCACGACCAGUCACACGGGCACUGAGACACGGGCCCGACUCCUACGGGAGGCAGCAGUAAGGAAUAUUGGGCAAUGGAGGCAACUCUGACCCAGCCAUGCCGCGUGGAGGAUGAAGGCCCUCUGGGUUGUAAACUUCUUUUAUUUGGGACGAAAAAGGGCCUUUCCAGGUCAACUGACGGUACCAGAUGAAUAAGCACCGGCUAACUCCGUG